rnacentral:rRNA from 1 species
CGGUAGCAGAAGAAGCUUGCUUCUUUGCUGACGAGUGGCGGAUUGGCGCGUAAUGUCUGGGGAUCUGCCCGGUAGAGGGGGAUAACCACUGGAAACGGUGGCUAAUACCGCAUAAUCUCGCAAGAGCAAAGUGGGGGACCUUCGGGCCUCACACUACCGGAUGAACCCAGAUGGGAUUAGCUAGUUGGUGGGGUAAUGGCUCACCAAGGCGACGAUCCCUAGCUGGUCUGAGAGGAUGACCAGCCACACUGGAACUGAGACACGGUCCAGACUCCUACGGGAGGCAGCAGUGGGGAAUAUUGCACAAUGGGCGCAAGCCUGAUGCAGCCAUGCCGCGUGUAUGAAGAAGGCCUUCGGGUUGUAAAGUACUUUCAGCGGGGAGGAAGGGAGAGUGGUUAAUAACCGCUUUCAUUGACGUUACCCGCAGAAGAAGCACCGGCUAACUCCGUGCCAGCAGCCGCGGUAAUACGGAGGGUGCAAGCGUUAAUCGGAAUUACUGGGCGUAAAGCGCACGCAGGCGGUCUGUUAAGUCAGAUGUGAAAUCCCCGGGCUCAACCCGGGAACUGCAUUUGAAACUGGCAGGCUUGAGUCUCGUAGAGGGGGGGUGGAAUUCCAGGUGUAGCGGUGAAAUGCGUAGAGAUCUGGAGGAAUACCGGUGGCGAAAGGCGGCCCCCUGGACGAAGACUGACGCUCAGGUGCGAAAGCGUGGGGAGCAAAC